rnacentral:rRNA from 1 species
AUUGAACGCUGGCGGCAGGCCUAACACAUGCAAGUCGAACGAGUGGCGGACGGGUGAGUAAUGUCUGGGAAACCGCCUGAUGGAGGGGGAUAACUACUGGAAACGGUAGCUAAUACCGCAUACCAUCAGAUGUGCCCAGAUGGGAUUAGCUUGUUGGUGGGGUAACGGCGGACCAAGGGGAUGAUCCCUAGCUGGUCUGAGAGGAUGACCAGCAAGACUGGAACUGAGACGCGGUCAAGACUCCAACGGAAGGCAGCAGGGGGGAAGAUUGAAGAAUGGGCGCAAGCCUGAUGCAGCAAUGGCGCGUGUAUGAAGAAGGCCUUCGGGUUGUAAAGUAAUUUCAGCGGGGAGGCGUUACCCGCAGAAGAAGAACCGGCUAACUCCGUGCCAGCAGCCGCGGUAAUAC